GGGGAAUUUUCCGCAAUGGGCGAAAGCCUGACGGAGCAAUACCGCGUGAGGGAGGAAGGCUCUUGGGUUGUAAACCUCUUUUCUCAGGGAAUAAGAACUGAAGGUACCUGAGGAAUCAGCAUCGGCUAACUCCGUGCCAGCAGCCGCGGUAAUACGGAGGAUGCAAGCGUUAUCCGGAAUGAUUGGGCGUAAAGCGUCCGCAGGUGGUUUAUCAAGUCUGCUGUCAAAGAGUUUGGCUCAAUCAAAUAAAGGCAGUGGAAACUGACAGACUGGAGUGCGGUAAGGGCAGAGGGAAUUCCUGGUGUAGCGGUGAAAUGCGUAGAGAUCAGGAAGAACACCGGUGGCGAAAGCGCUCUGCUGGGCCGUAACUGACACUGAGGGACGAAAGCUAGGGGAGCGAAUGGGAUUAGAUACCCCAGUAGUCA
rnacentral:rRNA from 1 species